rnacentral:rRNA from 1 species
GACGAAUGCUGGCGGCGUGCUUAACACAUGCAAGUCGAACGGUAAGGCCCUUCGGGGUACACGAGUGGCGAACGGGUGAGUAACACGUGGGUGAUCUGCCCUGCACUUCGGGAUAAGCCUGGGAAACUGGGUCUAAUACCGGAUAGGACCACUGCCUGCAUGGGUGGUGGUGGAAAGCUUUUGCGGUGUGGGAUGGGCCCGCGGCCUAUCAGCUUGUUGGUGGGGUGAUGGCCUACCAAGGCGACGACGGGUAGCCGGCCUGAGAGGGUGACCGGCCACACUGGGACCGAGAUACGGCCCAGACUCCUACGGGAGGCAGCAGUGGGGAAUAUUGCACAAUGAGCGCAAGCCUGAUGCAGCGACGCCGCGUGAGGGAUGACGGCCUUCGGGUUGUAAACCUCUUUCAGCACCGACGAAGCGCAAGUGACGGUAGGUGCAGAAGAAGGACCGGCCAACUACGUGCCAGCCGCCGCCGUAA